CUCUCUCUUGGACGACGUGAUCUCCGCCACCACCGUCCCUGCCUCGCUCAAAACCUUCUCUUCUAAAGCUCGCGGAGCCAAAGCGGCACCAAUAUAAUCACGCAGUGCGGACGCACACGAACAUCACCGCAACCUCUCGCUCGCCGCGCCGCGGCGCCCGGCCAUCUCGCUCGUUCACGCAGGCGAAGAGAGCUGUAAACACUAGCCAAGAUGGGCGAGGGACAUGAAACCGACAAGAACAUUGAAGUAUGGAAGGUCAAGAAAUUGAUCAAGGCACUUGAUGCUGCCAGGGGCAACGGUACGAGCAUGAUUUCGCUUAUCAUGCCACCUCGUGAUCAGGUCUCCCGAGUCACCAAGAUGCUGGGUGAUGAGUAUGGAACUGCCUCUAACAUCAAGAGCAGAGUCAACCGUCAGUCCGUGUUGGCCGCCAUAACUUCUGCCCAACAGAGGCUGAAGCUGUAUAGUCGAGUUCCCGUGAAUGGAUUAGUGCUCUAUACUGGGACCAUUGUCACCGAUGACGGCAAAGAGAAGAAGGUCACCUUCGACUUUGAGCCGUUCAGGCCGAUUAACGCUUCGCUGUAUCUGUGUGACAACAAGUUCCACACAGAGGCACUGAAUGAGCUUCUGGAGUCUGAUGACAAGUUUGGUUUCAUAAUCAUGGAUGGCAACGGAACACUGUAUGGUACACUUAGUGGCAACAGCAGGGAGGUUCUUUACAAGUUCAGCGUCGAUCUCCCGAAGAAGCACGGGCGAGGAGGGCAGUCUGCUGUCCGCUUUGCCCGCCUGCGCAUGGAGAGGCGUCACAACUACCUGCGCAAGGCGGCUGAGCUUGCUACCCAGUUCUUCAUCAAUUCAGCCACCAACCAGCCAAACAUCGCUGGGCUUAUUCUUGCUGGCUCUGCCGAUUUCAAGACCGAGCUGGGAAAAUCUGAGAUGUUUGAUCCACGCUUGCAAGCAAAGGUAAUCAAGACUCUUGAUGUGUCAUAUGGAGGGGAGAGUGGCUUCAACCAAGCAAUUGAGAUGUCUGCAGAGGUGCUGUCUGAUGUCAAGUUUGUCCAAGAAAAGAAGCUGAUCGGCAAGUACUUUGAGGAGAUAAGCCAGGACACCGGGAAGUAUGUCCUAGGUGUGCAGGAUACAAUAACGGCGCUCGAGAUAGGUGCUGUGGAUACACUGAUUGUGUGGGAGAACCUUGAUGUCAGGCGAUACGAGCUGAAGAACACCGCCACAGGAGAAACAGUGAUCAAGUACCUCAACAGUGACCAGGAGGCAGAUCAGAGCAACUUUGUGGACGAGGCAACAUCAGGAGAGUUUGAUGUCAUCGACAAGCCGUUGCUGCUGGAGUGGUUCGCGGAGAAUUACCAGCAGUAUGGCUGCACCCUGGAGUUUGUCACCAACAAGUCGCAGGAAGGAUCACAGUUCUGCCGUGGCUUUGGUGGGAUCGGUGGGAUCCUGCGCUACCCAGCCGACGUCGCUGCCUUCAACGAUGACGAUGACGACAUGCUGGAUGAGGCCGACUAUGAAGACUUUGAAUAGCAAUCAACUGAAACUCUGAUCAAUCCCGGUCCGGAAGGAGCCUGCGCUGGCCCUGACCGCGUCGGGCCGGGACAAGACCCUGAAACAUCCAAAAGAUCGGUGCAAGAAGAUUAAAAUGAAUUGGAGAGGAUCCCAGAAAUUUGAUGAUGAUGCCAUGGGCAUGAUAAGUCUGUUCCUCUUCGCUCAAAGCUUGGAACUUGAGGAUGUUCUUAAGCAACCAUGGCUCCCUUCUGAUGCUCCUAUCAGAAGAGCUUAAGUAAUACCAUAUCCACAUAUUAUUCUCUCAUUAUCUCAUGUUACUACAAAUAAUGAGCCAGUUUCAGCGCUGGCCACUGGCCUGCAGCAUACUCUACUUGAAGAGGCUUUCGUUUGUUCCUUUAAGUCUGUGUCUGUGGCUCUGCUGCUGCACCAGCCAUUUUAACUUCUUGAUUAAACCCAGAGUAGUGUGAUUUGCAGCCGCUACGCUUGAGUUGCCUGUAUCAUGUGGCAGUAUGGUUAAAGCGUCAAUGAUAUUUGUGAAGUGUGGUUCUUAGUAUUGUGAUUUACACUGCUAUAAGUUCAUAUUAUACUAGUGUUAUGUGUUUUUAUGCUCUGAA